CCGUAACUAUAACGGUCCUAAGGUAGCGAAAUUCCUUGUCGGGUAAGUUCCGACCUGCACGAAUGGCGUAAUGAUGGCCAGGCUGUCUCCACCCGAGACUCAGUGAAAUUGAACUCGCUGUGAAGAUGCAGUGUACCCGCGGCAAGACGGAAAGACCCCGUGAACCUUUACUAUAGCUUGACACUGAACAUUGAGCCUUGAUGUGUAGGAUAGGUGGGAGGCUUUGAAGUGUGGACGCCAGUCUGCAUGGAGCCGACCUUGAAAUACCACCCUUUAAUGUUUGAUGUUCUAACGUUGGCCCGUUAUCCGGGUUGCGGACAGUGUCUGGUGGGUAGUUUGACUGGGGCGGUCUCCUCCUAAAGAGUAACGGAGGAGCACGAAGGUUGGCUAAUCCUGGUCGGACAUCAGGAGGUUAGUGCAAUGGCAUAAGCCAGCUUGACUGCGAGCGUGACGGCGCGAGCAGGUGCGAAAGCAGGUCAUAGUGAUCCGGUGGUUCUGAAUGGAAGGGCCAUCGCUCAACGGAUAAAAGGUACUCCGGGGAUAACAGGCUGAUACCGCCCAAGAGUUCAUAUCGACGGCGGUGUUUGGCACCUCGAUGUCGGCUCAUCACAUCCUGGGGCUGAAGUAGGUCCCAAGGGUAUGGCUGUUCGCCAUUUAAAGUGGUACGCGAGCUGGGUUUAGAACGUCGUGAGACAGUUCGGUCCCUAUCUGCCGUGGGCGCUGGAGAACUGAGGGGGGCUGCUCCUAGUACGAGAGGACCGGAGUGGACGCAUCACUGGUGUUCGGGUUGUCAUGCCAAUGGCACUGCCCGGUAGCUAAAUGCGGAAGAGAUAAGUGCUGAAAGCAUCUAAGCACGAAACUUGCCCCGAGAUGAGUUCUCCCUGACUCCUUGAGAGUCCUGAAGGAACGUUGAAGACGACGACGUUGAUAGGCCGGGUGUGUAAGCGCAGCGAUGCGUUGAGCUAACCGGUACUAAUGAACCGUGAGGCUUAACCUU
rnacentral:rRNA from 1 species